GCCUAGCACGGUACACGCCGGCAUCAGUUUUGCCCUGAGGAAUUUGGACAGAAUUUAGAGGCGACAGAGAGGGACCUGGAAGGAGCUCACCUCUACUGGACCUUUCUCUCUUGCCCAGCUGCUUCCUCACUAGCUUACGGUUGACUGGUGAACAGGAACAGACAGCAGAGGAGAAACAAAAAUGAAUGUGCAGUAACAGAAAUAAGCUCCAACAAUGGUUACUUCCCAACCGAAAGCUUCACAAGAUUGCCUUCUUUACAAGUGGAAGAUGAUAGUGUUUGCACAAGUUGGACUCUAAGGAUUUUGGAUUAAAAAUUUCUCAAACUGCAAGAAAACUGAAUUAGGUGAUUUUAUCUAACAAUGUAGAUCACACUAGGAUUCAAAUUCAAACCUCAGCUUAUGAAUUUUGACACUUAUUCUUGUAGAGGAACAGAAUACUUGUUACUUUGUUAUAGAAUGCUAUUGUUAAUAAUAUCAACAUCAAUUAUUUUUAUAUUUUACAGUCCCCAAGAAUAAGAACUGGAAACUGAUGACCUCUUGCAAAAAUGUUUAUGAGUAUAAUGGCUACAUUUUACUAUAAAUAGCCAAUUCAUAUUUCAGGCCACAGUUCCAGAUUGCCCUCUCGUGGUGCCCUGCUAAUACGUGAACUUUCCUCUACACCCUGGAACCCACAAGCUCAGUGUUUACCAGUGCCUAUUUCUCUCAGAAAUAUUAUUUUGCUUUCAAGGCAUCUUCAUCAUAUGUCACCAAGACCUUAGUUAACAAUUUUUAAAGAGGCUCCAUUGCUUAAGACUCCUGACUCUUCCAGGAGGAACAUGAAGCUGGAACAAAGCUGAGAGGAGGUGGCCACCAGUUCCUGCUACUUUCCACGGUUCAGAAUCUGAAACCUCUACUACCACACUGAGGUUAUGCCCACCACUCCGUUCUGUGUGCCCAUUAUAACCUUUACCUUAACAUCAGUGACCUCUCCUUCCUUCUAGUGUACAAAUAAAACAACACUAUUAUCAAAAGAUAGAUUGAGUCAACUUUCAGAAAGACCAGGGAGUCUCAACCCUUCUCCACUUUCUGAGGACUGGGCUGUCCUAAGGGAUGCUGGAGCCUGCUGUGUUUGUUUAAAUUUUAGGAUUGCUUAAUGAAACCUACAUGACUUAUGGGCUGUUUAUAUUCUUAACCUCAUAUAUUCUGACGUGAACCUCUCUGCAUUUUUAGAAUGAUUGUUGCUUUGCUUUCUCUUUUUUCCAUUUUGCUGUAUACCUCACUCAUCUUUAGUUUUCCUGACUAAUUACCUCAUGCUUCGACUCCCAUCAGUUGGUUAUUUGGAUACCAACCGUAAAACAGUUAGAAAUCUGGUUGAACAGCUCUACCUUAGUCGUCCUGGUUCUUAUGACUUGAGUUUUUCAUUAAAGCAUCCUCAAAAUUCU